rnacentral:rRNA from 1 species
AUGCAUUUGGAAUGGGUCAAGUCAAUUGUAAGAGUUGAAUUAGCUACUUCGCCUUUGAGUCCUUUGUUGUUUAGUUGUAAUUUUUUAUUCAAUAAAUUCCUAAAUGCACCAUUUCUUAUGAGCAGGUUUUUUUUAAAUCAAAAUCACAAUGUUAUAUAUAUGUUUCGUGCCUCUCACGUCAAUUCUAAGAGGGCACAGGUUGGGUUCAAUAUUUUUAUCGUCAGAUCUAACCAUGAUGAAGGCAGGCCCCUCCGAUUGCUAUUAGGAAUGUGGAAGGUUGACCAGCCGUCUCUUCCUCUCCAUGGUGUGCAUGUUAAGAACUUAUGCAGCAGCGGACGCCAAUUUCAUGGAGCCGUCAGCAUCAACUUUUGUGGAGUCCUCUUCUAG